UCCUAUUCCAUUUUUUUUUUUUUUUUUGAACUAGUUAUUCCUAUUCCUAACUAAUUCCACACAAUUACAAAAUCAAGCAAGCCACCAAAUUCCCAUCUUAUUUAGACCGACCGAUCCACACUGAAUCCAAGACCCGACCCGCAACUCGCAGUCCCCUCUUUCUUUCUACCGCCGCCAGUGCCAUAGCUGGUCGCCACCCCUGCAGUUCCCUGAACUCAACCGUUCGGAUAUGGUGGGUUUCAGACAACGAUGGGCAGAGGAGGUGGGGCUUCAGAUGACGAUCCAAGGGGUUGAUUUUAGUGGUGAUGGGUGGGUCAGUUUUGGUAGUGAUUUGUUGUUGGAUUUGGAUGAUGGUGGUGGUCGGGUAUUUUGGUGGUGGUGGUGGCGGCAGUGGAUUGCCAGAGUGAAGGGAGAUGAUAAUUGUUGUGGUGGCGGUACUGUGGUUUGGCGGGCGGUGUAAUUGUGGUGGGAAGGCAGGUGAUGGGGGUGAGGCUUGUGGCGAUGUGAUGGUGUGUGGAGGUGAGACCGUGGCGGGAAAAAAUGGUUGAUGAUGGUGGUGUAUCUCAAAUUACUCAAAUGUAGUUUUGCCAAUUAUCAAGGAAGGUCUGAUUUACAGCAACAGUAUGGCCGUGUAUGUCUUGACUAACUUGGUGACCUUCUUGACUCACUUUUGGAAGUUAAAGCUCAAGCAUGCUGUUGCAAUCAUGAACAUUAAAGGUGGAGCGGCAGGUAUCAUUGGCUUAGUGGAGGCCGCUCUCAUAGAUGCUUAUUUUGGCCACGCUGGGAUGUUGCUCAUCACAAGUGUUCUUUACAGCAUUGGAUUGGGGUUGCUAGUAAUGUCUGUUCCUGGUCGAUUCUUUCCAAGGGUGUAAACGUCGUGUCCAGC